UAUGAAGGCUGCACCGCCAACAGGCGGCAAGGCUGGAGUAUUUUAUUACCCUUGUCUUUUGCGCACUUGUUGUUUCCUGGGCGGGUUCGCCCGCCUCCAGGACCACAUGAUAAACCUUUUUUAUGCAGUUGCAAUCAGCGUCAGUACAACAAAUGUAAAUCAUUUACAACUUUCAACAACGGAUCUCUUGGUUCUGGCAUCGAUGAAGAACGCAGCGAAAUGCGAUACGUAGUGUGAAUUGCAGAAUUCAGUGAAUCAUCGAAUCUUUGAACGCACAUUGCGCCCUUUGGUAUUCCAAAGGGCAUGCCUGUUCGAGCGUCAUUUGUACCCUCAAGCUUUGCUUGGUGUUGGGCGUUUUUUGUCUUUGGUUUUGUCCAAAGACUCGCCUUAAAACGAUUGGCAGCCGGCCUACUGGUUUCGCAGCGCAGCACAUUUUUGCGCUUGCAAUCAGCAAAAGAGGACGGCACUCCAUCAAGACUCUAUAUCACUUUUGACCUCGGAUCAGGUAGGGAUACCCGCUGAACUUAAGCAUAUCAAUAAGCGGAAGAA
rnacentral:rRNA from 1 species